GACGAACGCUGGCGGCGUGCUUAACACAUGCAAGUCGAACGAUGAAGCCCAGCUUGCUGGGUGGAAGAGUGGCGAACGGGUGAGUAACACGUGAGUAACCUGCCCUGAACUCUGGGAUAAGCACUGGAAACGGUGUCUAAUACUGGAUACGACCUAUCACCUCAUGGUGUGUGGGUGGAAAGAUUUAUCGUUUCUGGAUGGACUCGCGGCCUAUCAGCUAGAUGGUUAGGUAAUGGCUCACCAUGGCGACGACGGGUAGCCGGCCUGGGAGGGUGACCAGCCACACGAGGACUGAGACACGGCCCAGACUCCUACGGGAGGCAGCAGUGGGGAAUAUUGCACAAUGGGCGCAAGCCUGAUGCAGCAACGCCGCGUGAGGGAUGACGGCCUUCGGGUUGUAAACCUCUUUUAGUAGGGAAGAAGCGAAAGUGACGGUACCUGCAGAAAAAGCACCGGCUAACUACGUG
rnacentral:rRNA from 1 species